rnacentral:rRNA from 1 species
CAGCCGUAAACUAUGCUCGCUAGGUGUCAGGCAUGGCGCGACCGUGUCUGGUGCCGCAGGGAAGCCGUGAAGCGAGCCACCAGGGAAGUACGGCCGCAAGGCUGAAACUUAAAGGAAUUGGCGGGGGAGCACAACAACGGGUGGAGCCUGCGGUUUAAUUGGACUCAACGCCGGACAACUCACCGGGGACGACAGCAAUAUGUAGGCCAGGCUGAAGACCUUGCCUGAAUCGCUGAGAGGAGGUGCAUGGCGUAGACGUCU